GGGCGUGGCUCGAUUACUGUAAACGGCGCUGUUUCGAGGAUUGCAUUCGAGAAAUCGGUGGCCAACGUUCACUGCGCUCGUUACGCAAAAUGAGGGACGAAGGUGGUACUUUGUAGUGUGGCGAAGGCGUAGAUUAAAAGCGACAGUUCGAAAGCUAAUAUGGUAGUGGUAGAUUAAAUGUUUGUGUGACAGUUGAGAAGCCGGGCAGUCGGGUUGUUGUAGAUUAAUAGUUUCGUGCGCGAUUGUUCAGAAGGUAAAUACAAUGGUAUGUGGUCGGGUUGCUCAAUACAAGGCGCCUUGGUAAGAUCGGAGAUAUAGUAAAUCAAAGAACGUGGCUAUCCUCUGGUUACUUAUCUGGAAUGGAUUUAUUCGCUAUUGUCAGCUCAAGAUUGCUCGACGAGAUAUCUGGAUGGUGGAAAUUUUAUGUCAGCCUCGUGUGGUGAUUUAACGUCUGGAAAGACAGAUGAAGGAAUUGGAAGAAGGUCAAUUUCAUUGUCCAAUUAAUCAGUGUGAUAUUAUAACCAAGUCUGAGAAUUGAGUCUGAGAAUUUUUUCUUUUUCCAAUUAUCAGAAGUAUGAUUUUUGAUAAAAAAAAAAAAAGAAAAAGAAAAUUGAUAUUAAUUUUCGUUUAGAGAUUGAAAUGUUAUUUGAUCGAAGAUAUUUAUUAGAUGGUAUUAAAUCUGUGCAAAAUGGGCUCUAUGACAGGGCUCUUAUAUUCCAUCGUAACGCGGAUGGAACGUCGUCUUGUCCUUUUCUGUGGGAUUGCAUAUGUAAGAGCUUUCACGUUAUCCCUUGGGGAGAAACUUGGAGGGAUUUGGACCGAGGGUCUUUUUCUAUGAUUUUCUUUUUACCCAUCCAUUGAUAUCGGGGGAUAAUCAUAAAAAAUUCAUAAACUGCAAUAAUAAUUUCCACGGAUAAAAACAUAGUUCGUUCGAGCACCCUGUAUAUACUCAAAGGUUGGUACGCCUGCAGAACAUGGGAUACACUGUUGACGAGAUACGGAUAAUUGACAAAGUUUCAAAUAUAUAUAAGCAAGGAUUUACAAGAAACAUUGGUCCACAAUAAUCGACCUUCCAUUCUUCACACAAUUGGCGAACCGUGACGACGACAAAAAUGUUUACACGCAAUUAUUCGGCAUUUACGAGUGGUUCAUCGCCGAUACUCGAAGGCCGUAAAUUUGUCGAACCGUUGCACCACGUUAUACACCGUGCUGUACACGGUAAUUUUACGGUUGUUCUCGUCCAUUCGCCGUUUUUUAACGACACCAGAACAAUCCUUCGUCGAAGACCCCCAAAGAUCUAUUCUGCACCGGGAACCCAUCAGUUCAAACUCUCUUCAUGAUGCAAAAAAAAAAAAGAGAGAGAGAGAGAGAUCCAAAAGUUACACGCUAGUGCUAUUGUUUCGACGUUUCUACCACGAAAACGAAAUUGCACGGUAGUAUCUGCUUUGUAUCGCAACCUAUCGCGUUCGACGGUUUGGCUCGAAUCGCUUUAUAUUACGUUUUAUGGAAACCUUUUAACGUGAUCAGAAAAUAAGCUUGGAAGAAAUAGAAGCGUGGAAACUGUUUGUAAUCCUCGUGGAUUGCGGCCGAGCAUCCGUGGAAAUAUGCAAAUAUCCAAAUCGAUUUUGUCCAAAUUGUUUCUCAUAAUUGUUGGAAUUCUGAAAUUCUGUUAUUAAUUUGGAUUAAAUGCGAGUGAUGAUAUAUCGAUAAAUUAAGUAUGCAUAUUUAUUUUCAAUAAAAAAAGUAAAUUUAAAAUUUUAAUUUAAUUAAAAAAAAAAUUAUCUUACGGUUCAAAAUUUAAUAAACAAAAAUUUUCUCCAAAUGAUAAAUAUAAAAAGAAUCUAAAAAAAUGUUAAUUGCUUUAUCGACGUGAAUUUUUCAAAAUAAAGAGUCUACAAAUUCCCAGAUCGAACAACGGAGGUCGAACAAUGGACACCGGGAUUGUAAGGCAAAUGGGUGAGUAGCGCAUCGGAGGAGGACUUGGGGAACCAUGGCGCAUAAAGCGAUAUGGUUAUUUCGGAAUAUCUGCAGCCAUACGCGACCACUCAAUGCUUCCAUUUCAAUGUUUCGCCCCUCCAAGCGUAAAAGUGGCGAAAAUACGACGAGAUGGGGUGAGUUUUGCGAGGGUUGCGACCGAAGAGUCCCCGGCUAUAAUACCCCAGCGGCUGGAAACGGGCAAUCGAGACGUAACUUCGAUACUCUCGGAAUUAGUCCCAUAGAAUCGACAGAAAUCACGAUAUUUCGCUACCUUUCGCUCGAAAAUGCCGAAUAAUAUUUCACAAUGCGACGAAUAUGUGGAAUGAACUUGCUUGAAUUAUUACACGCGUGUAUAAUAAUUAUUUCUUUCCCGUGUUAUUUGUGAUUCAAAGUAUGUACAUACGUAUAUGUUGUGAAAGAAGAGAUACCUUUAUGUUUCGUUGUCAUUUUUUGAAAUUAUGUCGAUUAUUAGUUUCUUAAUAUUAUAAAUGCUGUUUGACAUCUUAAUAAUGCGCAUUUGAAUAAAUAAUGCAAUAAUGUAAAAGUGUUAUAAAAAAUAUUAUCGAAAAAGCAUGCAUUUGUAAAGCAACUGGAAGAGGUUAUAUUUAUACAUAAUAUUCCACAUAUAACUGAAAAAAUCGAAUAUACCGUUGAACUCUAUCUCAGAUCUAUGUAACGAUUAUUGUCAGACUUGUUCAGUAUUGGCUAUCCUCCAUCACUUUAAGCGAAAGUGGGGAGGUUUCACGUUAUGUCAUGAACUAAGAAUGAAGGAAGUGGAAUAAACGCGAUAGCUAAACGUGGCUACUAAUUCAUCUUAUAAUAUCUUACAUAAAAAUUAUUUGAAAAUAAAAUGAUGUGAUAUUUUUAAAGGAGUUGUCGUUGGAAUUGAAAAAUGUUUCAAAGAGGGGACUUUGGGAGCCAUAGGAAGAUGCUUUGUGACCAGUAAUCUGAUGCAUCCUAUUAAUUUACUAUACGCUUUUAUUUCGUUUGUAUAUCAUAGAUAUAGCUUAUGAGUAUAAUUCUACAUCAAGUUUCGAAAAUGGAUACAUUUACAUUCAUUGUCAAUGGAUUACCUUUUCGCUUGUCAAUCGUCAUCGUCAAUCGCCACCCUCGUCGUCGUCGUCACCAUCUUAUUUAUUUAAUUUUUUUUUUUUUUCAUCGUUACGGCAUAAUACUAAUUCUUGAAAUAGACAUGAGACUCCAUUAUUCCUUUUACUUUUAUUACUCUUAACGUGGUAAGGUAGGUAUUGAAGGACAGCUACGCUCUCUUAUCGUUCUAGCAUUACAUUAAUUAGGUAUCAUCCAGCGGCAUGCGAGGAUCCGCAGUUUAUCGAUCGAUCGAUCGAUCAACAAGAUCGAUUAAUUACGAUCCAUCGAUUGCCGCAGAUUCUCGCUCACUGAGCAACGUUAACGUUACGUAGUAUUAAUAUUUACAUCGAAGAAACUCUUGAAGUAAUACACGGCUUUUCAUUCAUUUUUUUAAACGUAGGUACAGCAAGACGAUAAUUAUAAGACCUAAAUUCUCAGUUCUGAUAUUUUUUUUUUUUUCCUAUAUUGUUUUUUCUUUUUCCUUUUUUACGCUCGAAUGAAUGGUACAUGAAUGUAUGUAUACGUUACGUAUGUGAGUUGCACGUAGUAUUGGUACGUAUGUAUUCUCUGUGUUAUAUGCGUUUGCGGAGACAUUUGAGAGUGCGUGCGCAUGGUUAUUUUGACGAAUGGUUCACGAGUAGGAUUAUAACAGUGCCGUGAGAAAAAACUGUUCUACAAAAAAGAGAAAAAAGAGAAGAAAAAAAGAAACGAGGAACAAUGGCUUCCGUUUUUGCGCAAGAAAAACAAUAACGAUCACAGUACGUCGCGUCGAAGCAUCGAACACUCGAUAUAGAGAAAAAUAUCAUUUUUCCACUCUGUCGUGGCGACUCGAGAGCAAAUGAAUAUGCGACAUGUGCACAAAACCCGGCUACGUGGCUCUUUUAUUUAUUUAUUUCUUUAUUUAUUUAUUUUUUUUUUCAAUUUUUCGGCUCGUCGUCAACUUAUAUCCUAAGAAUAACCACGAUUCGCGUACAAUUGUUAUUAAUUAUCGAAACGAUAAACAAUAUAUUUUAAGUAACCGCGAAACGGCGCAGAACAAUAAUAUAAUCGAUAAAAUAUAUCCAUGUAGGGACGAAGUUCGAGAAUUGCACGAUCGUUUUUACUGGGAGGAGAGGUAAAAGUGGAGGGAGUGGAAAUUCUCGCGCAACGCGAAAACGCGCGAAUGGGGAUGAGACAGGCCACCCCCUCCUCUCUGGUCGAACGUGAAAUUCUCGAGGCAUCAUCGACCCGCUAAGAAACUAACCGGCAGGAUACACACAGUGCUAUACACUCGCGAAAUGUAAAACUAUAAUAGAAAAAAAAAAAAAAAAAAGGAUUUGUAAAAAUAACAAUAUUCAACGCAUGAGCGAAAGAUGAGAGCUGCCAAUAAAAGAUACGACACUUAGAAUAUAGACCAGCGAUCCUUAACCUCAAUCUGGUUAAUACAGGGUCUAGGAAUGACGAUAAUAUUCCGUAGAGAGUAAAAAAAUUCAUUAAUAGUUGAUAAUUUGAUUGAAAAAUUUUCUUAUUUUUUUUUUUAUGACAGAAAUAAUAAAUUCUUGAUUUAAAUCUCGACCCUGUAUCCCGUAUUAAUUGUGGUUCAAUUCAUUUUUCAAAUUAAAAUUUGAUUUAUUGUUCGAUUAUCGUAAUGAAUUUUGAAGAACAAUUAAUUUGAGUUGAGGAUUUAAAACUUUAAAACUUUAAGAAACGGUGAUGUAGAUUUAUAAAUAUAAAUUUUCAGAAUCAGUUACAAACAAUCAUGUUUUAUAUUUUCGUCGAAUUUUUUAAUUUUAGAAAAGAACAGUUUACAGCUGAUUCCAAAUCUAAGUGCGUAAUCGUAUUGCGUAACACACGCAAAUCGAUCGUAAAAUUCUCUAACGAACACAAUCAAAAGAGAAGUGUAUAUAGAAAUAAUAUAUUACAAUAUAUUUUUUUCAUUCAAAAGUCAUUCUUACUUCUUCUUUCUUUUUUCUCUUUUUCUUUUUUUUUUUUUUCCUCUCCUUUUUUUUCGAAAGACGAUCGAAUCGUUUCGUAUACCAUCAUCAUAUAUUUUUAUGGCACGGAUGUUUUUUUUCUGUGACGAUCGAUCGAUCUGAUUACAAAACAGAAUCAUCGUCUUUCGGAAUUGUAAUAUUUUUAAAAAUAUCUGUACAUAAUCUCAAAAUCGUACAAAAAGAGAUAAUCGUAUCACAAAUAUGAAAAGGAAAAAGAGAAAAAAAAGAGAAGAAGACAAAACUCAUCAAUUUCUCCCCUCUCUCUCUCUCUCUCUCUCUCUCUCUCUCUCUCUCUCUUUCUCUCUUACUCUUUUAUUUCGCAUUUAACAAAAACAAAACUACGAAAAAACGUGUAAAAUAAACAGCUCAUAAAUAAACAAUUAGGUAAAAAAAAAAAGAAAAUAUAACAAAUUAUUCUUUAGUUUUUUCUCUCUCUCUCUCUCUCUCUUGUUUUUGCGCAAUUUUAAUUCGAUCCUAUGUUCCCGUCAAACGUUUUAAAUUCAAUCUUCUUUUUCCUUCAUUUUUCAUCACCAAUUGGUACGCGCAUAUUUUAAGAAUAAUUAAUUAAUAAAUUUCGAUUUUUGUCAAAUUUGCCACGUUUGCUUACGCAUACACAUUAGUACGGCACGAUUCACGCGAUAUUUUCUUUCAUUCCAUCUUUUUCGCUUGCACGCUUUCCACUAAUUAUUCUCUCUCUCCCUCUUAUGCAUACAUAAGUCGUCCUCUAGACGAAGGACAUUCACUCUUUCGUUCUCUCUCUCUCUCUCUCUCUCUCUCUCUCUCUCUCUCUCUCUCUCUUUCUCUCUCUCGUUCCUUCGUACAUGCCAAAACGCUGACAUCGUUUCGACCAAUGCUCGAGCCACACUCCAGUGUUUCCGUUUCACACACAAUUUCCUUAAUUCGGAUUAGAGAAGUGUUCACACGUACGCGCGUGCGCACGCAUCUUCCAUUUUGAUUUCUUUUUUCUUUUGACAUUCUCGAGAACAUCGCGCGACACGCACGUAAAUAUUCCUUUCCUUUUGCAGGUUUUAUCAAACGAUGAAUCGUGGUUUAUAUAUAUAUAUAUAUAUAUAUAUACAUAUAUAUAUAUAUAUAUAUUUUUUUUUUAUGCUUCUUUUUACGCGAAUUUGGCAAGUCGGGCAAAAAUUGUACUACUACACAGCGGAUGCUUUUUUUUGUUGUUCACGUUGUUCAUGUUGUUAUGUUUCUUUUCCUUUUUUUUCCCUCGUGUUUCUGACAUAACCUAUAUCUAUAUACGUAUAUAUAUAUACGUAUAUAUAUAUAUAUAUAUGUAUAUAUAUAUAUAUACGUAUAUAUAUAUGCAUAUGUAUAGACCUAAUCGAUAUAGUUUAAUUCAAUAUAAUACAUCUAUAUAAUAAUGGUAAGAUAGAGCGAGUAAAUCGAUUGGAUGUCGAUGAGGAGGAGAAAAUGAUCUGGGAUGACAAAGAUGGGAGGGAUGGGGAUAAGGAUGCGAAUAUGAAAGAGAACAAGGAAGCGUUUAUGAAUGUUAUUAUGAUAUGAUUACGCGUCAAUUAUUUUGGAAUAAUAUUCUAUAACAACGUAGAUGUUCAUUAGGUUGUUUAAAAAGAUAAGCCGAGAGAAAGCUUCGUAUGUGGACGGCGCCCGCACAGUUUUUUUUUUUUUUUCUAUUCUAAAAAAAAUUUCUCGACUUACACGCUGAUCCUUCCCGAUUUCUUACCCGAAUGAUUUGGGAACGCGAGACACGUUCAUCUGCGAUGUGCUACGCUUUUUAUCCAAUCUCAAUAAAAUUAACGUCAAUUUCUGUAACAGGCGAUUCCGAUAGACACUGGGUGUCGUAAGGGAACAUAAAAGUAUUCGAUAACGAAACUUAAAAAAAAAAAAAAAAAAGAAAAA